rnacentral:lncRNA from 1 species
CAAGGAGUCGAUCUAUCCCAAAAAUUGGAUCUAGAGACCCUUGUAUUCCGAAUUCAUCAUCAACAUUAGCUGCAGGAACCUCCUCUUAUAUGGCGGAUGAGAUCACCCUUAGAAGAUAAGAAAAUGUUUCAUUUGAAAAUAAAUACGAAACUUUAAGGUAAUCUGAUUGAUUUUACUGUUUAUUCGAUUAGUGUACAGCAAAUAGUCUAACUUCGAACACCACCCAUUCCUCCCUUGAAGUAUUAAGGAUUCAAUAAUUGAGAUUCUUGAAAAAGUGUUAAUUUCAAUUUUUUUUUUUUUUUUUUUUUGGGAAAGUUGUUAAAUAUGUGAUCUUUAAUUAAGAAUGUAAUUAGGAAUGAUCAUUACUUAUUAAUAGAAAUCGUGAAUUGAAAUAGUUUGGCUUUUAAUAUGUUCGAAUUGCUAACGAAUUAAGAAAUCUAAAUAAAAAGAAGGUGGAAUCAAUGAAAUCUUGGUUGGUCUUCACUAUGAACUUGAGUAAGUAGUAGAUAUUUUUGUUUUGGGCUUUCAAGAAAUAUUUGCGAUGGAGAACUCCUUCCAUGUUGCUAAGCUAUUUGUUCAAUUGUCUAAGUGAUUAUUUUAAUAUUGAUUCCAAUCGUUUAUUUUCAAAAAGGGGAAUUAAUUGGAUUCAUUUUGCAAGUUUAACAUUUGAACCGCCCAAUAAUUUAUGAAGGAUAAGCAAUUAAAGUCUAUGAAUUGUUGUUACACAUUAUAGCAUCGAAUCGUAGUUGGAUGUUGAAUUGAUCAGAUGAAGGAUUUCUUUCAGGCAGAUUCAUUCAAUGUGUUAAAGAGUUCAUUGAAUUUGCCAUGUCUCAAACAAGAGUUGGAGAUAUGAUCAAACGUCCAUGUUCUAUUUGUAAGAACACAAGGUUUCUAAAAGAAGUUGAUGUGAAAUUUCAUCAUUACAAAAAUGGAUUUACAAGGGACUAUACAGCUUGCAAACACAUAGAGAACCAUUCAAUUUCAAUGGUCUAGAUUUGGCUGAAUCCUCAACAGCACAAGCUGCAAGAAAAGAUAGCCAUGAAACAAUGGUGAUAGACCUCAUGAUGGGAUAGGCUCUGAGAUGCCUUGCCUAGUAGGUAAUGAUUGACCUCCUCGGUCAUCGAAAGGAUCGCGGAGACCCACCACACUCAUUUAGAGGCCUUUACAAGCAUGAUGGCACCUGAAACGUACAAUAACUACAUCAAUCCAAAUGUUUGUGCUCAUGAGGAACAAGUCCCAAAUCAACGUACAAAAAAUUUCUUUGGACUAUUGGAAGAAGCUAACAAACUCAUGUGGCCUAGUUGUAAUAAGUACACAAAACUUUCUAUUGUGGCACGGCUAUUGAAUCUGAAGUUUAAAAUUAAUAUACCUACAGCAUGUUAUGAUCAUAUGUUGUCUAUCAUUAAGGAAAUUAUCUUAGGAGGUGACCGAAUAGCAUGCUGGUGUUAUGAAGAUCCAUGCUUGUGUGAAUAAUUGCAUGUUGUACUACAACGAAACUAAGAGCACGACUUAGUGUCCUACGUAUUUAGUCUACGCUACAAAGAGAAGGUGUCUCAAUUUGGACAUAUGGUACCUCGAUAGGUACUACAAUAUCUACAUCUAACUUUUAGCCUUCAACUUUUGUAUAUGUCAAGACAUACUACAGGCAGGCACAUGUUAUGGCACUCAAAGAAUCAAUUAACUAAUGAUGAAAUACGUGGUAUGGAAAUACUUUGAUAAAACUUUUCCUCAAUUUUCCCUUGAGCCAUGUAGUGUACACAUUAUUUUAUGUAGAAAUGAGUUCAACCCCUUUAGGUUGUCAAAUGUGCAAUAUUCGUAUUGGCUAGUAAUCAUUACUAUGCACAAUCUUCCACCAUGGAUGUGCAUGCAACAAGACAACUUGUUUUUUAGUGUUGUUAUCCCAGGACCAAAGGACCUAGGGAAAAAUCUUGACGUUUAUUUGCAUCCUCUCAUUGACGAACUAAAAAUACUUUGGGAUGAAGGUGUUGAAACAUAUAACAUACAUAUGAAUAAGAAUUUUUCUAUUGAAAGCUGCAUUGACGUAGACUAUUAGUAAUUUCGUUACAACCUAAAGUCUUGUUCAUACUGUAUAGGUCAAACUAAUUUUUUUAGACUUAAAAUUGGAGAAAAAAACAUCUUAUGAAGGUAGAGUUGAGAAGGAUAUGGCAAUAUAGGCUAACCGGUGAAGAGUUGUGAAGUAUAGUGGAGAAUCUCCCACACAUUGCAGGUGGUAGAGAUGAUAAGAGAUAAGAAAUCGAAGGUUUUGGUCAUAGCCAUAAUUGGGUGAAGAGAAGCGUUUUCUUGGAGUUGCCUUAUUGGGAUACAAAUUUUAUAAGGCAAAAUUUAGAUGUGAUGUACAUAGAAAAGAAUGUAUUCGAAAAUAUAUUCAAUUCAAUUAUAGAUAUGAAAUGGAAAACUAAUGAUAACUUCAAGGCUAGAAAGGAUUCGGAGCUUUAUUGCAAUCCUUGGGAGCUUCAUAUAUAUGAAGUUGAAAGUGGAAAAUUAUUCAUGCCAAAGGCCUUCUAUAGUUAAACUCAUGUACAAAAAUGAGAAGUAUGUAGUUAAAUUAGGAAUCUAAGAAUGCGUGACGGUUAUGCAUCAAACAUUUUACGUUGUGUUAAGAGUGAUUGUGAGUUUUAUAGAAUAAAGAGCUAUGAUGGUCAUAUUUUUAUGCAAAGAUUGCUACCAAUAGUACUAAAAAACUUGUUGCCCAAACCAAAUUGGGAAGCUUCAACUGAACUCGGCCAUUUUUUAGGGAUAUAUGCUCCAUUAUUUUGAGGGUGAAAGAUAUGGAGCAGUUGGAACAAAAUAUUUUUUGACAUUAUGCAAGUUUGAAAAGAUAUUUCCAUCAAUAUUUUUUAUUCAAUGGAGCAUGUACCUGUUCAUUCUGCAGAUGAAGCAAAGGUUGAAGGUCCUGUGCAGCAUCGUCGGAUGUAUCCUUUAAGAGAUAGGAUAGGCCUCAAUAUUUAAUUUACCUUCUAAAGCCUAAAAGAUAUUGAUUUCAUGUAUCAUUGAUUCCUACGUUACUUAGAAAAUAUGAUGAAAAAUCAGACUCAUGUUAAGGCAUUUAUUGAGGAGGCAUACUUAGUGGAGAAAACGUCAACUUUUUUCUUUUUGUAUUUUGAUCAAAAUAUUCAAGCAAGAUUGAAUCAUUCAUUGAGGAAUGAUGAUGGAAGUCUUAUUGAUCCCCCAAAGGAGACUAUCAAUUUUUACCCAUUCUGGACUACCCUUUGGCAUUCAAUGUCAUAAUAGCAAAUUAAUGAUGAAUGAGGAAUUCAGAGCAACUUCAAUGUAUGUGCUCUUGAAUUGGAGAAAGUAACCCCUUUUAUGGCGCAAGUUGUUAUAAUUACAUUUCCAAUAUAUAUUGAACUAUAUGCUUAGUCAGCAGCAUUUACAAUUUCUCAUUGCACAUGUAGGGAGUUUGAUAAACAUAUGAGAAUGUUGUUUGCCCAAAUGUCUAAUGCACAAUUUGAUUGUUUGUAGAAAGAAUAAUUUCAUGUUGGUUGAGGGAAUACUUAUGUGAUUUUGUCUCAAUUACUCCCAAAAAGUAUUUUGCUAAUUGAGUCUAAUACAUAUUAUUUCUUCUAUUGAGGUUUUGGAAAAUCAUAAUAAAGUUUAUAGUUGCAUAAAGGCUUUGACUAUAGGCCCCUCUCAUAGAGUGAAUUGGUAUAAUGGAUAUGUUGUCAAUGGUUUUAAGUUUCACACUCUAGAUUAUGGUUUCCACAAAAUUACAAUAAAUAGAAGUAUGUUAGUACUAGGAAGUUAUUAUAAUGAGUAUGAACAUGACUACUAUGGUGUGUUAUCUAAAAUAUUGGGAGUUGGGUCAUCUAGAAGAUAUUGAAAACAAGGUAACCUUAUUCAAGUGUGAUUGGUUUGACAUCAAUGGUGGAUUUAGAAUCAAUCGACGAUUCGGUCUUGUCCAACUUAAUCAUAAGAAGAAAUUACAAACAAUUGUUGUGUUUAUACUUUCUCAACAACCUCAACAAGUAUAUUACACAUGAUUUCCAACAAAGGCUAGAGAUAGAAUUGAUUGGUGGGCAGUUGUGAAAAAAAAAAGCAAGAAAUGUUCCUAGCAUAUUAGGAAUCAUAUCGGAGAAUGAAGAGCAUAAUAUAUGGGUGAAACUUGCAUUUCAAGAUGAUCAACCACCAUUUACCCAGCAAUCUGUUCGAAUAACUUCAAAGUUCAAUUUCCAAAUUUAGUUUGUACUGAUGUUGGGGAUGAAUAUAAGAUGUUCAACAUAGAUCUAACAGGUUUAUUGUAGAAGAAAAUACAGAACCAGAUGAUGUUGACAGUAGUGAUGGCUUAACAACAAGUGCAAAUGAAGGAGAAAAUUGUACUAUUAUUAUUCUAGUCAUUUUUAGUUUAUUUUUCUUCUUAUUGUUCAUAUUUUUCAAGGGCUAAUUUUAGGAAAACAUUUGACCCGUAUAUGGAAAAGGUGUAAGCGUUAUGCCCUAAGUCCAAUCAAUUUUGGAUAUAAAGACUUCUAAUAUACUAUUAUUGAUACAAUUUUAUGGCAAAUCUAUUAUUUUAUCAAUAUUUAGUUAAAUUAAAUAAUAGAGUCUAUAUAUUUAAAUCAUAACAAUUUGUUAAUCACAAAGAGUUGUGAUUGUGAGAUACAAAUUACUUAUGAUCGAAUUUUAAGUCAUCCAUAGUCGUGAGUAAUAAAGAAAUAAGAAUAUUGUUCUUACGGAUAGACCAUCACGUGUGACAUUUCUUACUUGUGAAAUAAGUAGUUGAUCUCACGAGCUAAAAUAUGGUGACACUGAAAUGAAUACGUAGAUGUUUUGUAAUAAAACAAAACAUUGGAGACCCACUACAGAAAUUCAACUUGGAUAACUAUCUAAGUGUCAGUGAUUAAUCUUUAGCGUUUGGUAGUGAAAUUGGUCAUUCAAUUUGAAGUCAUCAUACUACCUUGUAUGAAAACAUUCAUAUUUUGGUAGUGUUGGAAGUUCUCUACCAAGGGCUGCUAGUACAGUAUCGUUCGAUUAUGUCAAGAAUCAUAUGAAGGUUGAAUGAUUGACAAAUGAUUCGUUACUCUUAGAUAGUAAGAGACUAUGAUCUAUAUUUCAUCCAGUGAAGUUGAUAAUGAAAUCCUUGGUCAAGAUAUACUCAUAAGUCUAAAAAGAGUUUUGACUUGCAUUGACUUCAUAGUGGGGUAAAAGAUUUGAUUAAUAAUUGAGAUUGACACAUAUCUAUAUCUCAUAAUUAAUCGGAUCAUGUUGAUGAAAGGAUUAUAGUUUCAUAAUAAAUGAAUAAGUUUGGUUUUGUCAUAUGACGUGAUAUUUUUUAGCACAUAUGUUGUCCUGACAUAUUGUUAGAUGUCAAUUUGAGACGACGAAUGUAAAUUGGUUACGUACAAAAAAGAGAAUUAGAAUAAUGAGACUUACCAAUUAAUUAAUUGACAUGUGUUGGAUAAUUAAUUAAUUGGGUUGUUUGUUAAUAAGCCCGAAAUAAUAAAUUUGAUUAAUUAAUUCAUGGACCAAAAUUAAUUAAUUGAAUUAAUUAAAUAUUUGAUCGGAUUAAGUUAGAAUACUGGCCAAGUCCGCUUGGACUUAUAUUAAUAGGUUGCUAGGUUUGAAAAAUUCAGUAGAGAACAUAAUUAAUCUUGCUAGCGCAAGAAAAGAAAAAAUCCUAGUUCUAUCAAUCUUAUUCUCUAUGUGAAUUUUUAUUUAGAGGCUAGACAAUUAAACAGCUGUGAAUUGCAGAUCGUGAUUGUUAGAGUUCAAGAAAAGUGAAAGAGUUUAUAGAAUUCAGCAUAAGUAUAAUUCUUUAUAUCAAUUUUUCUCUAAGCACAAAGAAGAUCAUUGAAGUAAACGUUUAAGAUCACUUAUAGAAUGUCAAACGAGAGUUUUCACAACCAAUAGAAUAUACUAAACAAUCAAACAAAUAAAAGAGGAUAAAAUCUGCCCAGCCACACCCCGCGGCAAACAAGGAGCAAACAAUUUUUUUUUUAUUUUUUAUUUUUUAUUAUUUUUUAUUUUUUUUGUUAAAUUCCAUUGUUUAGGGCUCUGAAAAAGUUUUUUUGUUUUUAAAUAAUUUUUUUCUUUUUGUAUUUUUUGAGUGAAGAAUGAUAUAAUUGAAUUUAGGGCGUUUAAUUUUCAUCAUUAUUUAGAUAUGAAUGUUCUCGUUUAUUCAUUUGUAAAAGCAACUAACAUUCUAGAAAGUUACUUGGGUAUCCAAUUUUAGUUUAGGGAUAAUCGAUCUUCAACAAAAUGUUCCCUCAAGGCUUGAGGAAUUGGGAAGUAAAUUUCAGCUAACAUUCUCUCGAGGCUUGACGACUUAGGAAUUGGAUUUCAAUGAAAGUUUCCUCAAGGCUUGAUGAAUCAAGAAUUGAACUUUGAACUUUCGAUCAAGGCCUCAAGAAUUGAGAAUUGAAACGUUCCCUUGAGGCUUGAGGUAUUAGGAAUUGAACUUCAACAUACAUUUUCUCGAGGCUUGAGGAAUUCGGAAUUCGACUUCAAUGAAAGUUCCUUCAAGGCUUUAAUAUGUGGAACUCAAUACAUAGGAGGAAAACAUUAAUUAAUUUGAAUUCAAUGAGAAUGCGCAAUAACUAUAACAUGAUUGAGCGGUUGUUGAAGUAUACUUAUACCAAGUUAAAGAUCCACAUGAUGUAAUCAAAUAACAAUUUUUCAAUUUGCAAUUCAGUAUUUUCAACUAAUUUGAAUAGAUUUAAGAUUUAAUAAUCUAUUUUUUUUUUUUUCCAAAAUUCAGUACUUCAUAGAAAUGAAUAGCAAAAUAUCAUCUAUAAGAAUGAUCAAAAUUCAGCAUUUACAAAAUUUAUCCCACUAUCUAAUUCAUCUAAUCCCUCCCAAUAUUUCAACCUUUCCCUAAAAUUCUUCCAAAAUGUUUUCAAUCGUUCAUUCCCUCAUUUUUUUUCCCAUAUACCACAUUCUUCCAUCAUUUAGCUUAUGCAAAGUUUAUAGCAUCCUCGUCACUUUUUUCAACCCUUUGAUCCUUUUCAAAACUCAAACUGAAAUUAACUUCAGCUGAAGAUGACUAAUCGAGUAAGAUGGAAUUUCAUGCCUAGGGUUCCCAUGAGGAGGACAAUAAUUGGACUAAGAAUGAAUCUAAGGAUGCUGAUGGCACUCUUUGUGCAGCCUUAAUUGUAGAAAAAGUAGUCCUAACCACGAUACUAAUGGUUGUGCAGAUGAAUCUAGAAGAACUUCUUUAACCAUGACAGAUAAUAAGCAUUUAUCUGAACUUAUUUUUGGAGAUUUCAUUUUGAAAUGUAAAAUGGUAUCACUGAUUUUAUAUGGACUGAAUAAUUGUAGGAGAUAGAAAAUAUACUAUGGCUUAUUAUGUCCAUUUUCUAGUUGAUGAAAUGGGGUAGUUUUAAACAGGGUAUAUUUUUGGAUGAAUGUUUUUUUAUUUUGUUCCAUGGAUAUUUUCAAUGUCCUUUAUAGAGUACAUUCCCUAUAACAUUGUUUAAUGUAAGGAUGUCAACGAAUCGAGUCGAGUUCGAGCUAAAAUUUUAGACUCGAGCUCAGCUCGGUUAAAAUGGUCGAGCUUUUUUAAGAGCCCGAGCCGAGCCGAGCUUUUGCUCAGCCAAAAAAUUUCGGCUCGGUUUAUGGGCCGAGCCGGGCAAGCUUGUUUUUUUUUUCCUUCCUUAAAACUGCCUUUUUAAAGGCAACAAACUUGGCAUGAUUCUACCUUACGGCCUCUUUUUCUUCUCUCUCUCCUUUUUUUUUUUUUUUUUAAAUAAAAGCUCAUGGGCCGGCUUGGGCUCGGCCUGUGUCCCCAAAAUGGGGCUCGGCCCGAGCCACAAGCCGGGUCGGCUCGGGCUUUUUCCUAGCUGGGCCGCGGGCCGCCCGAGCCUCCGAGCCUUUUUGACAUCUCUAGUUUAAUGUUAUCACAUUAGAAUAUGGUGUUAAUUACACAAGUUUGAAGUUAAGGUAAUCUAAUUAAUAUUGUGUUAUUUAGACUAUACUUCUUGAAGUCCGUUCUCUGCUUUAAUGUGAUUUCAUUUUAUACCAUUUUAAUUCAUUUUUGAAGUCGCAUUCACUGCUUCGAUCUAGUUUAAUGUUGAAUUGGCAAAUAUAUAUUUUCACCUUUUCUGGUUAAGUUCUGUUUUUUAAGUCAUGGUCAUCUUGUACUUUCAUGCUUGUAGAUUCAUUACUCCUUCGAUAUCGUGUACUAUAAGUGCCAAUUUGAAGGCUUACUUGGGCUGACAUUAUCCUAUGUUUAGUUUGGUACCAGUUGACGCAAAAAAGUUCACGUGGGAAAGAUUUUAGGUAAUAUAUAUUUCUUUUAAAUAUACUUAUGUCUUUAUUUUAUUAUGUUGUUUGUUUCAUACUAAUUGUUGGUACCUACAUUAGCAACAAUGCUCAUGACCAAAUACAAAGACAACGAGGGGUAUAAGUCAUAGAAUACCGCCUAACUAAUCGAUUGUGAGAUAUAUAUUUUUUUACUCAAAAGAAGGCUAAGGGAAAUAGCAAGUCUGAAACUAUAAAUAAUUGAAAGGGAUAUAGACCCCCAUGGUUAAGUGUAGAGCACUGGGAUGAGAUAAUUGAGAAACAAUGGAACAAUGAAAGAAGCAAGAAGUCUAAACUUGGCCGUGAUAAUCGACUGACUGUAAAGUCAGUAACCAUCAAUAAGCACGUUGUUUAUUAAAUAACAAUUGCUGCCCAUAAGCAAAGGCUGAUAAUGUUUAACUUGCAUGACUCAAUUGCAUAGACAAUUGACAUGUUACAUAUGAGUAUCUUAUUCUAUAUAUUAUGUUCAUUUUAUACCAGAAUUUCAUUUGUUCAUUCGUUAGAAGAGCUUUCUCUAUGCAUUUUAUAUUAGAUGUGGGAAAAAUCAGCAUGUUCCGUCUUUAUUUUUAGCUUGUUCGGGCUGAAAUCAAUUUGGGAAAAAUCAUCACGUUCUGUCUUUAUUUUUAGCAUGUUCUAUCUAAAAUCAAGUUGGAAAAAACAGCAUGUCUAUCUUUGUACUCUGCAUAUUCAGUCUUUAAUUUUAGAAUAUUCUAUCUGAAAAAUCAAAUGAUCUAUCAAGAGAAUAAUCAGUUGUCUAUGACAUUUAGCAAAGAAAGCUUGUGCAACAGAGAAAUCAUUUUACUGAUAGAUUUUAACUAAUUCUUCUUGUCUGCAUCAGUACUUUCUAUACAAGGAUUAAAUACCAAUUUCUGUUUUACAACAUCAUUGAGAAAUCAUGACUUCAAUACGAACAAUUUAUAUACAGUAUGCAUGAAAUGAUGUUUGAUUUAUUUCUUAUCAAGAAUCUUUUAAACUAAACUUUUCAUUUAUUGCUUGUUUCUGGCACGAGAAAUUAGACAAGCUACUUGCUGCUUCACAGUUGUUCGAACGUGUACACUAUCAAAAGAAGGGAGAAGGAGACUUUGCAGACAACAAAUCAUGGAUUGUAUAAGUGGAAAUAAAUUCUAUUUUGAUUAGACUCUUAACUUUCAUGUUAUUAUCUAGCUAUUCCUAAAUACUAUAUGAU